AUUGAACGCUGGCGGCAGGCCUAACACAUGCAAGUCGAACGAGUGGCGGACGGGUGAGUAAUGUCUGGGAAACUGCCUGAUGGAGGGGGAUAACUACUGGAAACGGUCGCUAAUACCGCAUACCAUCAGAUGUGCCCAGAUGGGAUUAGCUUGUAGGGGGGGUAACGGCUCACCAAGGCGACGAUCCCUAGCUGGUCUGAGAGGAUGACCAUCCACACUGGAACUGAGACACGGGCCAGACUCCUACGGGAGGCAGCAGUGGGGAAUAUUGCAAAAUUGGCGCAAGCCUGAUGCAGCCAUGCCGCGUGUAUGAAGAAGGCCUUAGGGUUGUAAAGUACUUUCAGCGGGGAGGCGUUACCCGCAGAAGAAGCACCGGCUAACUCCGUGCCAGCAGCCGCGGUAAUUC
rnacentral:rRNA from 1 species